rnacentral:rRNA from 1 species
GACGAACGCUGGCGGCGUGCUUAACACAUGCAAGUCGAACGGAAAGGCCCUGCUUUUGUGGGGUGCUCGAGUGGCGAACGGGUGAGUAACACGUGAGUAACCUGCCCUUGACUUUGGGAUAACUUCAGGAAACUGGGGCUAAUACCGGAUAGGAGCUCCUGCUGCAUGGUGGGGGUUGGAAAGUUUCGGCGGUUGGGGAUGGACUCGCGGAUGAUCAGCUUGUUGGUGGGGUAGUGGCUUACCAAGGCUUUGACGGGUAGCCGGCCUGAGAGGGUGACCGGCCACAUUGGGACUGAGAUACGGCCCAGACUCCGACGGGAGGCAGCAGUGGGGAAUAUUGCACAAUGGGCGGAAGCCUGAUGCAGCAACGCCGCGUGCGGGAUGACGGCCUUCGGGUUGUAAACCGCUUUCGCCUGUGACGAAGCGUGAGUGACGGUAAUGGGUAAAGAAGCACCGGCUAACUACGUG